CAGUAGCCGCGGGAAUACAGAGGGUGCAAGCGUUAAUCGGAAUUACUGGGCGUAAAGCGCGCGUAGGUGGUUUGUUAAGUUGGAUGUGAAAUCCCUGAGCUUAACUUAGGAAUUGCAUUCGAUACUGGGAAGCUAGAGUAUGGGAGAGGAUGGUAGAAUUCCAGGUGUAGCGGUGAAAUGCGUAGAGAUCUGGAGGAAUACCGAUGGCGAAGGCAGCCAUCUGGCCUAAUACUGACGCUGAGGUACGAAAGCAUGGGGAGCAAACAGGAUUAGAUACCCCUGUAGUCCCUGUCUCUUAUAC
rnacentral:rRNA from 1 species